rnacentral:rRNA from 1 species
UGUUCCUACGGGGCGCAGCAGUGAGGAAUAUUGGUCAAUGGGCGGAAGCCUGAACCAGCCAAGUCGCGUGAGGGAAUAAGGCCCUACGGGUCGUAAACCUCUUUUGCCGGGGAGCAAGGGCGGGGACGUGUCCCGGCCCGGAGAGUACCCGGAGAAAAAGCAUCGGCUAACUCCGUGCCAGCAGCCGCGGUAAUACGGAGGAUGCGAGCGUUAUCCGGAUUUACUGGGUGUAAAGGGCGUGUAGCCGGGCCGGCAAGUCAGAUGUGAAAUCCCAAGGCUCAACCUUGGAACUGCAUUUGAAACUG